CUUGGAGUAAGUGGGGAAGUGAGGUGUGCUUCGAAGGAAGGAAAACACAAGCAGCAAAUUACAGACACUAGAAGCCCCCUUAAAGAGUCACCUGAGCUGAUUUUGUGAGCCGCUGUGUUUGCCUGACACCAGGUACACACGGAAAUGCUCAGCUGAUUAGGAAAAAAGGCUGGAUCUGACAACUCCACGUGAUGAAGAAACACAUGUCCUGAGGAGGCUGUCCCUGCUUCAGCACAAGAAAGCUCAUUGUGAAACGCCAUGGGGUGAGUGGGAGAACAAAAUUCCAGAACCAUUCACAAAAUGCAGUUGCAUAUUGAUCGCUCCCCAACAGGACUGCACAAGCACUGAGUGCGCGGGUUGCUCAAAGGAGAAAGUAAGCAGAAAAUUUAUAAAGAUGCAGUGCAUGAUAAGAAGGCC
rnacentral:lncRNA from 1 species